GUGGGGAAUAUUGGACAAUGGGGGAAACCCUGAUCCAGCGACGCCGCGUGGGUGAAGAAGGCCUGCGGGUUGUAAAGCCCUUUCGGUAGGGAAGAAAUCUCUUGCUCUAACAAAGCAAGGGUUUGACUUAACCUACAUAAGAAGCACCGGCUAACUCUGUGCCAGCAGCCGCGGUAAUACAGAGGGUGCGAGCGUUAAUCGGAAUUACUGGGCGUAAAGCGCACGUAGUCGGCUUGCCAAGUCGGGUGUGAAAUCCCCGGGCUCAACCUGGGAACUGCAUCCGAAACUGGCUUGCUAGAGUAUGGGAGAGGGAGGCGGAAUUUCUGGUGUAGCAGUGAAAUGCGUAGAUAUCAGAAGGAACAUCAGUGGCGAAGGCGGCCUCCUGGACCAAUACUGACGAUCAGGUGCGAAAGCGUGGGGAGCAAACAGGAUUAGAUACCCCGGUAGUCC
rnacentral:rRNA from 1 species